ACUGGGUUGUUACAUCUGACCCAGGAUCUGGGUAACACAAAAACUACCCAAACACUGGGUUGUUACGUCCGACCCAGGAUCUGAGUAACACAAAAACUACCCAAACACUGGGUUGUUACAUCUGACCCAGGAUCUGGUAACACAAAAACUACCCAAACGCUGGGUUGUUACAUCUGACCCAGGAUCUGGUAACACAAAAACUACCCAAACGCUGGGUUGUUACAUCUGACCCAGGAUCUGG